CCCUUAGAUGUUCUGGGCCGCACGCGCGCUACACUGACGAAUGCAACGAGCUUAUAACCUUGGCCGAAAGGUCUGGGUAAUCUCCAAAUUUCGUCGUGAUGGGGAUAGAUUAUUGCAAUUAUUAAUCUUCAACGAGGAAUGCCUAGUAAGCGCAAGUCAUCAGCUUGCGUUGAUUACGUCCCUGCCCUUUGUACACACCGCCCGUCGCUCCUACCGAUUGAAUGGUCCGGUGAAGCGUUCGGACCGCUUCCUUUGGACGGGCAACCGCCUGUUGGUCGUGGGAAGUUCGUUAAACCUUAUCAUUUAGAGGAAGGAGAAGUCGUAACA
rnacentral:rRNA from 1 species